CGCCGAUUUGGCAGAGCCUCACGGUUUCUUCUGGAUCGACCUGCCAUCGCUGAUUUAUAAAUGGUGUCUCGGAGUCCUGCCAUGGCUGAUUCAUGAAUGGUGUUUGCGAGUGAAUGGAGCUGUCGAUACUGACUCACGUGACCUAAACUACUGAUAUCCUGACAAUGAAGAUCAGAUUUGCUCCAGAGAACUAUUUCUAAACAGUCUCUGUCCCAUGUAGGUCUGUGCUUUAUGAAACACUUCCCUGAGGUGUGUCCAUGCCGUGAGACCAGGACACAGCACGGUUGGAUCUAUGGAUCCCUCACAAAAGGAACAGCGGUUUAUAUCGUUUGGACCCCAACCAAGGGGUUCACAACCAGGAAAUCAUCAAUUGGAAGCAUCAGAAAGUUAUGACUUAAUUUAAAGGGAAUUCAUCUCAUCUGCCUCAUUGUUAUGAAGUAAUUGCUGAGUCUGACUGAGGAAGCCAAGAACCAAUGACUUAGACUUUGGGUCACAGUACCGAGAAAUGAUACCGUACGACAACGAAUCUCAGUGUUAGCUGAGUACGGCACAGGGAUGAACUACUUAAGUCGAUGAGACAUUGAUUUUGAUAUCAGAGUGUGGAACAGGUGGGAUGGAUGGACCACGAAGCUCCGGCGAUCAAUAUCAGGACCAAUUUUAUUCAUUAUGCCAAUGGUUUUGGAGAAGGAACAUUCAUAGUAAGCUUUACACAAAACUAUUGGGAGGGUCGCUCAAUACAAAGAGGGGACGGAAUGCCUUGAGUCACCGAGGAACAUAAGCAGAUGAGCGGCUCACUCAGUUCAGGGCAGAGGAAAUAUGAAGUAGAAAGAUUAUCUCACAGGAGUGUAAAGUCAGAACAAUAAAGGGGAAUGGAGAAGGAAAAGCAUAGCAGCAACUGGAAUGGUGGAAGCGAUAAUUCAAGUGCUUUAAGGAAAAGAAUUGACUACAGAAAUUAAAUUAAAUAAAUGUACUUUUUGAUAGACUAGAUUAAGAAAAACAACUCAAUAGAAAUAUAUAAUUAAGGGUUGGGGAUUUAGCUCAGUGGUAGAGCGCUUGCCUAAAAAGCGCAUGGAUGACAGAACCCUUGGGUUCUAGAUGAUCUAAAAGCAUAGAUGAAAUUAGAUGACAGAGUCACUUAAUUAUUUAUUAUGUGUUAAAUUUGUAUAUAGUACAUAUUUUAAUACUAGAUGAUAUAUAAGUACUGCUUUGUAAUUAUUUUAAUCAGUUUGUUUUAUUUGGUUUUGUUAAUAUGGUAGGAUUACAAUUUCUGUAUAUUGUGAAAUAUUUCUA
rnacentral:lncRNA from 1 species